rnacentral:rRNA from 1 species
GCUGCCCCUCGGAAACGACCCGUGAACGCGUUAAGUACAAACAUCCCGGGGGGGUGAGGGUGCGUCCGCGCCCCGAGCCCUCUCGGCGCCCUUGCGUGCGCGACCGCACCCGUUCCGCCCCCCCGGGCGUGCGGGAUGCCCGGUCGCGUCGCUUGCGGCCGAACAACGAACCCCCGGCGCGAGUCGCGCCAAGGAAUCGGAACGACGACGAGGGUCUCGUCCGUUGCCCGUCGCCCCGUCCGCGGUGUGCGUGCGGGCAGCGGCGCGUCUCCUCCGUCGCGAAAAAAUACGAAACGACUCUCGGCAACGGAUAUCUCGGCUCUCGCAUCGAUGAAGAACGUAGCGAAAUGCGAUACUUGGUGUGAAUUGCAGAAUCCCGUGAACCAUCGAGUCUUUGAACGCAAGUUGCGCCCCAAGCCAUUAGGCCGAGGGCACGUCUGCCUGGGUGUCACGCAUCGUCGCCCCCUCCGGACCCUUAGCCCCUCGGGGCUAGGUGGGGGCGGAAAAUGGCCUCCCGUGCGCUCCCCGCUCGCGGUUGGCCUAAAAACAGAGUCCUCGGCGACGACGGCGCCGCGACGAUCGCUGGUGACGCCUCGAGCGCGCCUCGUCCACGGUCGCGUGCGCCUUCGUUCCGUCGGACCCAUCGAGAGACCCUUUCGGCGUCGCACGAUCGAUGCCCGCGUCGCGACCCCAGGUCAGGCGGGACUACCC